rnacentral:snoRNA from 1 species
UAACAUGAUGAAUAAAUUAUUUACAGACCUGUACUGAUCUCUUCAUGGGAUCUGAGGAUAACCAAUAAUUGCCAAAUUUUCUGAUU